rnacentral:rRNA from 1 species
UACGUAGGGCGCAAGCGUUGUCCGGAAUUAUUGGGCGUAAAGAGCUCGUAGGCGGCUUGUCACGUCGGGUGUGAAAGCCCGGGGCUUAACCCCGGGUCUGCAUUCGAUACGGGCUAGCUAGAGUGUGGUAGGGGAGAUCGGAAUUCCUGGUGUAGCGGUGAAAUGCGCAGAUAUCAGGAGGAACACCGGUGGCGAAGGCGGGUCUCUGGGCAGUAACUGACGCUGAGGAACGAAAGCGUGGGUAGCGAACAGG